rnacentral:piRNA from 1 species
CCUGCUAAAAGGCCUUGGCUCUC